GCCAGAAUGGUGUAGUGGUUUGAACUUUGGACUGUGACUCUGGAGACCAGGGUAUGAAUCCCAGCUUGGCCA